rnacentral:rRNA from 1 species
UACGGAGGGUGCAAGCGUUAUCCGGAUUCACUGGGUUUAAAGGGUGCGUAGGCGGGUAUGUAAGUCAGUGGUGAAAUCUCCGGGCUUAACCCGGAAACUGCCGUUGAUACUAUCUGUCUUGAAUAUAGUGGAGGUGAGCGGAAUAUGUCAUGUAGCGGUGAAAUGCUUAGAUAUGACAUAGAACACCCAUUGCGAAGGCAGCUCGCUACACUAUCAUUGACACUGAGGCACGAAAGCGUGGGGAUCAAACAGG